UGCAUAAUCCCAAAAGCGGAGGAAAAGAAACUAACAAGGAUUCCCCUAGUAACUGCGAGUGAAGCGGGAAAAGCUCAAAUUUAAAAUCUGGUGGUCUUUGGCCAUCCGAGUUGUAAUCUAGAGAAGUGUUAUCCGCGCUGGACCGUGUACAAGUCCCCUGGAAUGGGGCGUCAUAGAGGGUGAGAAUCCCGUCUUUGACACGGACUACCAGGGCUUUGUGAUGCACUCUCAAAGAGUCGAGUUGUUUGGGAAUGCAGCUCAAAAUGGGUGGUAAAUUCCAUCUAAAGCUAAAUAUUGGCGAGAGACCGAUAGCGAACAAGUACCGUGAGGGAAAGAUGAAAAGAACUUUGGAAAGAGAGUUAAACAGUACGUGAAAUUGUUGAAAGGGAAACGCUUGAAGUCAGUCGCGUCUGCCAGGGAUCAACCUUACUUUUGUGAGGCGUACUUCCUGGUUGAUGGGUCAGCAUCAGUUUUGGUCGCUGGAUAAAGGUCAGAGAAAUGUGGCACCUUCGGGUGUGUUAUAGUCUUUGAUCAGAUACAGUGGCUGGGACUGAGGAACUCAGCGCCGCAAGGCUGUCUUAGGAUGCUGGCAAAAUGGCUUUAAUCGACCCGUCUUGAAACACGGCCAAAGGGAGUCA
rnacentral:rRNA from 1 species